rnacentral:rRNA from 1 species
UACGAAGGGGGCUAGCGUUGUUCGGAAUCACUGGGCGUAAAGCGCACGCAGGCGGAUUGAUAAGUCAGGGGCGAAAUCCCGGAGCUCAACUUCGGAAUUGCCUUUGAUACUGUCUAUCUUCGAGUUCGGGAGAGGUUGGCGGAAUUCCUAGUGUAGAGGUGAAAUUCGUAGAUAUUAGGAAGAACCCCAGUGGCGAAGGCGGCCAACUGGCCCGAUACUGACGCUCAUGUGCGAAAGCGUGGGGAGCAAACAGG